rnacentral:lncRNA from 1 species
GCGAAGUGGGUAGGGCGGGAGCUGCGACGGAUGGGGAACCUAGACUAUAAUAUUGAGGUCGUUAUCAUGGCUGAUGAGGUACUGGUGGUCCGCUUCGCCUGUGAGAAAAAUCGAGAGGAAAUGUUGUUGAGAGGAUCGUGCUUAGUGGCCGGUUAGCACUUCACAAUGGAACGCUGAAGGCCGAAUUUCAUUACCGACUCCGAUGGUACUGGACGGGUGGUAGUUUGGUUGCGCCUCCCACGACUGUCGUUGGACUUCUGGGCAAAGGAGACACUACUCCAAAUUGCAGCGACGGCUGGGAAACCUUUGGCUUUGGACACAGGCACUGACCAAGGGAGAAAGAGGGGCUUUGCAAGGGUGAAAGUGGAGCUCGAUAUAAGAAUUCCUCUAAAACCGGGAAUCUUUAUGAAGGGAGCUAAGGAGGGAUUGGAGAGGAAGGUCUUUAUGAUGCAGCCGUAUCGGUCACAGGGAGGCGGCCUGUGUGUUUUCUUCCCCAGCGACGAUAGGAAUGGAGGUGGGAGCGAGAAGCAACGCUCAACACCCAAACAAAGGGAAGGCACCAAGGGAAUCGGAGGAGCCAUUGAUCCAUGGACCUUGGCUCCCAUGAACUGGCAUCGGGGCUCCCAGAGGGGGGAGUGGGAAGAUGAAGUCAACCAAGACGAGCAACAGUACGGACUUGGCACCGGUGGUCGUGGCUCCAGGCGAUGGAGAAGGAGGGUCACGACUGUCUGUGUCUCCAACGAACUUGGAAGGUUGGCAAAAGCCAAGAUGGCUAGACGAAAGCCGCCGGAGAAGACGGUUGUGGAUGGCUCGACUGAGGAGAUGGACGAAGGGCUGAGCCAACCAGGUGAGCAGCCUGAGUCCAGCAGUGAAUCGAUGAGAGGCCCGAAGGGGCGAAUCGGUCGUCCGCGCUGGGCCAGGUGGAUCUAGGUAGGGCUGGGCCGGGCCUAAGUCUGCUUAAAAGGGCCCGAAGUCCACCCAAAUUCCAUUGAGCUCCGCUCGAAAAAAUCUUUCAAUAUGCAAUAAUAUUAAGAUAAAAGGCACACAUUACAUCGUCGGACCGCAAGCCUACAGCAAGGAGCCAACGUUGUGGAGUGGGUUGGACCGGUUGGCACCCUGUCAUGCAUAUAGAGUGAC